ACCAGUACAUCGGCAACAUUACUUCACAUAACUUCAACAACAAUUCAUCAACAAAACUUUGCUCAACAACGCGGCAACAAUGACUUGACAAUGCAACAACAACAACUCGACAAUGCAACAAUAACAACUCAACAAAUGCAAUAUGCAUGUGGUACCAUCAGAGCAUAAAGCUCUCUUCGCUAAUGUCGUAAUUCGACUUGACAGACUACAACUCCCUUCGCUAAUGUCAUAGUUCGACAUGUCAGGCUACAACCCCUUCGCUUAAAUUGAUUAUGUAUUGACACAACCAAUGCAACAACAACAACAACAACAACAACACCAACAACAUCAACAACGACUUCGCAUUAUGACUUCAUAAUUCAUCAAUCAUGAACAACAUCAUAUAACAUCAUAUUCAUCAACAUAUACAUUCAUAUAGAUAUUAAAUCAUCCAACAAAGAUAUUCACAUCAAACUAAGACCACUGGGAAGAUAAUACAAUUAUUGAGUAUGUGCUUGUGGAGACUCAAGAUGAGAGAGAGAUUGAUGAAGUGAAAGAAACUUUUCCCAGUGGUAGCAACAUGAGAAGAUACCACUUAAGCUGAAGAUGAUGAGCAAGAGGAGAGCAGUACCUACUUGAGGUGGGGAAAGAUCUGGGCUCUCCAUCAUCAUAUACCUUUGAUAAUCUCUUAUAACUUGCUUGUUCUGAUGCCAGUGGUGUUAUUCUUCUUAAAAUACUACUACUCAUAUAUGGAUGUGUGUGUAGUUGAGGAAAUUAAGGAAGGAUU
rnacentral:lncRNA from 1 species